rnacentral:rRNA from 1 species
CCUACGGGAGGCAGCAGUGAGGAAUAUUGGUCAAUGGCCGUAAGGCUGAACCAGCCAAGUAGCGUGAGGGAAGACUGCCCUAUGGGUUGUAAACCUCUUUUAUGCGGGGAUAAAGGUUUCCACGUGUGGAUGUUUGCAGGUACCGCAUGAAUAAGGACCGGCUAAUUCCGUGCCAGCAGCCGCGGUAAUACGGAAGGUCCGGGCGUUAUCCGGAUUUAUUGGGUUUAAAGGGAGCGUAGGCCGUUCUUUAAGCGUGCCGUGAAAUUCUGUGGCUCAACCAUGGGAGUGCGGCGCGAACUGGAGACCUUGAGUGCGCGGAAGGCAGGCGGAAUUCGUGGUGGAGCGGUGAAAUGCUUAGAUAUCACGAAGAACCCCGAUUGCGAAGGCAGCAUGCCGCAGCGUUACUGACGCUGAAGCUCGAAAGCGCGGGUAUCGAACAGGAUUAGAUACCCGAGUAGUC